GUGCUCACCUCAGCAUCACACAUGCAAAAGUGGAAUGCUACAGAGAAGAUUAGCAUGGCCCCUCCACAAGGAUGACACACAAAUUCGUGAAGUGUCCCAUAUUUUU
rnacentral:snRNA from 1 species